rnacentral:rRNA from 1 species
UACGGGGGGGGGCAAGCGUUGUUCGGAAUUACUGGGCGUAAAGGGCUCGUAGGCGGCCAACUAAGUCAGACGUGAAAUCCCUCGGCUUAACCGGGGAACUGCAUCUGAUACUGGAUGGCUUGAGUUCGGGAGAGGGAUGCGGAAUUCCAGGUGUAGCGGUGAAAUGCUUAGAUAUCGUCCAGAACACCGAUAGCGAAGGCAGCAUACUAAGGAGUAACUGACGCUGAGGCACGAAAGUGUGGGGAUCAAACAGG